rnacentral:rRNA from 1 species
UACGUAGGGAGCAAGCGUUGUUCGGAUUUACUGGGCGUAAAGGGCUCGUAGGCGGCCAACUAAGUCGGAUGUGAAAUCCCCAAGCUUAACUUGGGAACUGCAUCCGAUACUGGAUGGCUUGAAUCCGGGAGAGGGAUGCAGAAUUCCAGGUGUAGCGGUGAAAUGCGUAGAUAUCUGGAGGAAUACCGGUGGCGAAGGCGGCAUCCUGGACCGGCAUUGACGCUGAGGAGCGAAAGCUAGGGGAGCAAACGGG